rnacentral:rRNA from 1 species
UACGGAGGGGGUUAGCGUUGUUCGGAAUUACUGGGCGUAAAGCGCGCGUAGGCGGAUUAGAAAGUUGGGGGUGAAAUCCCGGGGCUCAACCUCGGAACUGCCUCCAAAACUGCUAGUCUAGAGUUCGAGAGAGGUGAGAGGAAUUCCGAGUGUAGAGGUGAAAUUCGUAGAUAUUCGGAGGAACACCAGUGGCGAAGGCGGCUCACUGGCUCGAUACUGACGCUGAGGUGCGAAAGUGUGGGGAGCAAACAGG